rnacentral:lncRNA from 1 species
AACAAUUUGAGAAACAGGAAGAGCAAAUAGAGGACAAAACGCAAGAAACGUCAGUUCAUGUUCAUCUGUAUUUUCAGGUCAGCUGCCUGCCACCCUACAAAGCCUUCCCAUUUUCAUCUUCUCCGUUUUCAUGCUUUAUGAGAAUGCGAAGCACCGGGAAAAGGACACGCUCUUCAGCAGAAUGACAAGGUUAGUACUAAAUAUUUUGAUUCUGCUACCUAUAGUUUUCUUAAAGAAAAUAGGCUGGAGUUGUUUUCAUCAUUAUCUAAAAAAGCAUCCUAAGUGAAGCGAGAUAAGGCAGAACCGUGUCUCAUGCUGACAGUAUCAUUGUUGUCUAUCUACUAAAUAUUCUUUUUUUCUACCAAUCUAGCCAAGCGGGAUGGAAUUUGCCGUAAACAUAUCUUGUGAAGCACCACGAGGUCCACGACAUGAAUUUGAACUGAGCCAAACAUCUAAUUCCUGGACUUAGUCACGGGCUUACGACGCAUCAGAGAUGG